AUUGAACGCUGGCGGCAUGCCUUACACAUGCAAGUCGAACGGCAGCACGGGAGCAAUCCUGGUGGCGAGUGGCGAACGGGUGAGUAAUAUAUCGGAACGUGCCCGGUCGUGGGGAUAACGUAGCGAAAGCUACGCUAAUACCGCAUACGAUCUACGGAUGAAAGCGGGGGGAUCGCAAGACCUCGCGCGAUUGGAGCGGCCGAUAUCAGAUUAGGUAGUUGGUGAGGUAAAGGCUCACCAAGCCGACGAUCUGUAGCUGGUCUGAGAGGACGACCAGCCACACUGGAACUGAGACACGGUCCAGACUCCUACGGGAGGCAGCAGUGGGGAAUUUUGGACAAUGGACGCAAGUCUGAUCCAGCCAUUCCGCGUGCAGGAUGAAGGCCCUCGGGUUGUAAACUGCUUUUGUACGGAACGAAAGGUUUCUAUUAUACUAGGAGCUCAUGACGGUACCGUAAGAAUAAGCACCGGCUAACUACGUGCCAG
rnacentral:rRNA from 1 species